UACGUAGGGUGCAAGCGUUAAUCGGAAUUACUGGGCGUAAAGCGUGCGCAGGCGGUGAUGUAAGACAGAUGUGAAAUCCCCGGGCUCAACCUGGGAACUGCAUUUGUGACUGCAUCGCUGGAGUACGGCAGAGGGGGAUGGAAUUCCGCGUGUAGCAGUGAAAUGCGUAGAUAUGCGGAGGAACACCUGAGGUGAAGACGGGUUGCUGGGCCGACACUGACGCUGAGUGCGCGAAAGCCAGGGGAGCAAACGGG
rnacentral:rRNA from 1 species